CGCCUGUUUAACAAAAACAUGUCUUUUUGAAUUUAAUUUAAAGUCUAACCUGCCCACUGAAAUUUUUUAAAUGGCCGCAGUAUACUAACUGUGCAAAGGUAGCAUAAUCAUUAGUCUUUUAAUUGAAGGCUGGUAUGAAUGGUUGGACGAAAUAUUAACUGUUUCAUAAAUAUUUAUAUUAGAAUUUUAUUUUUUAGUUAAAAAGCUAAAAUUUAUUUAAAAGACGAGAAGACCCUAUAAAUCUUUAUAUUUAAAUUAUUAUAAUUUUGUAGAAUUUUUUUAUUUUAAUAAUUAAUAAUAUUUUAUUGGGGUGAUAUUAAAAUUUAAUAAACUUUUAAUUUUUUUUAUCAUUAAUUAAUGAAUAAUUGAUCCGUUAUUAACGAUUAAAAAUUUAAGUUACUUUAGGGAUAACAGCGUAAUUUUUUUGGAGAGUUCAUAUCGAUAAAAAAGAUUGCGACCUCGAUGUUGGAUUAAGAUAUAAUUUUAGGUGUAGCCGCUUAAAUUUUAAGUCUGUCCGACUUUUAAAUUCUUACGUGAUCUGAGUUCAGACCGG
rnacentral:rRNA from 1 species